UACGUAGGGGGCAAGCGUUGUCCGGAUUUAUUGGGCGUAAAGAGCGUGUAGGCGGUUUGGUAGGUCCGCUGUGAAAACUCGAGGCUCAACCUCGAGACGCCGGUGGAAACCAUCAGACUAGAGUCCGGAAGAGGAGAGUGGAAUUCCAGGUGUAGCGGUGAAAUGCGUAGAUAUCUGGAGGAACACCGGUGGCGAAGGCGGCAUUCUGGACCAUAACUGACACUGAGAGACGAAAGCCAGGGGAGCAAACGGG
rnacentral:rRNA from 1 species